GAGUAAAGAUUUCGGUCGCUUUGGGAGGAGCUCGCUUACUAUCAGCUUGUUGGUAGGGUAAUGGCCUACCAAGGCUAUGACGGUUAGGGGGUGUGAGAGCAUGACCCCCAGCAUUGGCACUGAAACACUGGCCAAACACCUACGGGUGGCUGCAGUCGAGAAUCUUCCACAAUGGGGGAAACCCUGAUGGAGCGAUGCUGCGUGCGGGAUGAAGGCCUUCGGGUUGUAAACCGCUUUUGUAGGGGACGAAAUUUUUGACGGUACCCUUUCGAAUAAGAGGUUGCUAACUCUGUGCCAGCAGCAGCGGUAAUACAGAGACCUCAAGCGUUAUCCGGAUUUACUGGGCGUAAAGCGUCUGUAGGGGGUUUAUUAAGUUCCAAGUAAAAUUUCAAGGCUCAACUUUGAAUUCGCUUGGAAAACUAAUAAACUGGAGUCUAGCAGAGGUGCAUGGAACUUGUGGUGUAGGAGUGAAAUCCGUUGAUAUCACUAGGAACACCAAAGGCGAAGGCAUUGCACUGGGCUAGCACUGACCCUGAGAGACGAAAGCGUGGGGAGCAAAACGGAUUAGAUACCCGUGUAGUCCACGCCCUAAACGAUGAAUGCUAAAUGUUCGGGGAUUCGACCCCCUGGGUGUUACAGCUAACGCGUUAAGCAUUCCGCCUGGGAAGUACGGCCGCAAGGCUAAAACUCAAAGGAAUAGACGGGGAUCCGCACAAGCGGUGGAGCGUCUGGUUUAAUUCGACAGUAAGCGUGGUACCUCACCAGGGUUUGACAUCCCUUGACAGCCUUGGAAACAAGGUUUCCUUCGGGCAAGGUGACAGGUGCUGCAUGGUCGUCGUCAGUUCGUGCCGUGAGGUGUUCCGUUAAGUCGGGAAACGAACGAAACCCCUAUUGCAUGUUACAAUUUCUCAUGCAAGACUGCCCGGAUAUACUGGGAGGAAGGUGGGGAUGACGUCAGAUCUGCAUGGUCCUUAUACCCUGGGCGACACAGGCGCUACAAUGGCAGAGACAAAGGGUUGCAAAACCGCAAGGUGAAGCUAAUCCCAAAAACUUUGUCUAAGUUCGGAUUGAAGGCUGCAAUUCGCCUUCAUGAAGCUGGAAUCGCUAGUAAUCGUGAAUCAGCCACGUCACGGUGAAUAUGUUCCCGGAUCUUGUACUCACCGCCCGUCACACCAAGAGAGUUGGUAGCUCCCGAA
rnacentral:rRNA from 1 species